AUUGAACGCUGGCGGCAUGCCUUACACAUGCAAGUCGAACGGCAGCAUGAUCUAGCUUGCUCGAUUGAUGGCGAGUGGCGAACGGGUGAGUAAUACAUCGGAACGUGCCCUGUAGUGGGGGAUAACUAGUCGAAAGAUUAGCUAAUACCGCAUACGACCUGAGGGUGAAAGUGGGGGACCGCAAGGCCUCAUGCUUUAGGCGCGGCCGGUGUCUGAUUAGCUAGUUGGUGAGGUAAAGGCUCACCAAGGCGACGAUCAGUAGCUGGUCUGAGAGGACGAUCAGCCACACUGGGACUGAGACACGGCCCAGACUCCUACGGGAGGCAGCAGUGGGGAAUUUUGGACAAUGGGCGAAAGCCUGAUCCAGCAAUGCCGCGUGUGUGAAGAAGGCCUUCGGGUUGUAAAGCACUUUUGUCCGGAAAGAAAUGGCUCUGGUUAAUACCUGGGGUCGAUGACGGUACCGGAAGAAUAAGGACCGGCUAACUACGUG
rnacentral:rRNA from 1 species